AAUACCGACACCCAUCUCCUGACCUCAUUCCUAAUCAUCAGAUUAUGGAAGCUGCACCAGGAUGUUUAGCUUAACACCUUGGUGACAGAGAGGGAUGGAAGUGUGAUCUGGACCGUAUGGCAGGAAGAUCGUGAAUGUGCAGGAGAUACAUACACUGCCACUUCUCAAAUCCCCAGAGUCUUUCAGAAAAGGGGAGUAGAGCAGGAUUACUUUUUAAAAGAGAUGUACAUCAAAAGAAUCAUAUUGCUGUUCUUUAAAAGGCAACUGCAUGGUACUUUGUUGAUUGUUAUGCCUGGUACACUCUAGCCCAGCCAGAGCUAUAAUUAUUUUUUAAAAUACUUGUCUUGAUGAAUGUAUAGUGACAAGGGGGAGCAGCUAUUGGGAACAGUGAACUAUCCUGCAAUGCUAUUGUUUCCAUAUAUAUCGAACCCUUAUUGCUCCUAGUCACAGCGAGUCUGUCUUGCUUCCUACCUACAACUUCUUGAGCAGUGCUUCGUGUCCUUAUUAGGAACAUUUUGAAACCCUUUAGUUAGGUCUUUCACUAAGGUUCCCUUUCAUAUAUAUUUCAAGUGAAUGCUGUAUCCCAGACUAACCGUAGUCAUAAUGUAAUACACUUCUGUGAGUGCU
rnacentral:lncRNA from 1 species